rnacentral:rRNA from 1 species
UAUUAGGUCCAAUCUGCUCACUGAAUUUUAAAGAGCCGCGGUAAAUUGACUGUGCUAAGGUAGCAUAAUAAUUUGUCUUUUAAUUGGAGACUGGAAUGAAUGAUUAAAUAUAAAAUUUUCUUUCUUUUAUUUAAUUUAAAAUUUAAUUUUAAAGUUAAAAAUCUUUAAUUUUUUUAAGGGACGAGAAGACCCUAUAGAUUUUUAUUAGUAGAGGUUAAUUAAUUUUUAUAAUUAAUUUUAAAAUAAUUUGACUGGGGUGGUUAAAAAAUUUGAUUUGCUUUUUUUUUGUUUUUACUGAUAAGUAUAUUUUAUGAUCCUUGAUUUUGAUU